rnacentral:sRNA from 1 species
AGAUUUUUUAGAAUUGUACUAAAAGCAAACUGUUUUCUUGGAUAUUUGUUCUUUCUCCCCAAAAGAUUUAUAAGUUUUCAGAGCUAAGAAAUGGUAAUGAAGAGCUAUCCUAGCAUGGCAGCCCCAGCAUGAGACCAGAUGUAAGCUCUCCUCCAUCCAGCUCCUCAACAGCAACAACAGGACCACCUCCCAAACUCUGCCUGGUGUGCUCUGAUGAAGCUUCAGGAUGUCAUUAUGGAGUCUUAACUUGUGGAAGCUGUAAAGUUUUCUUCAAAAGAGCAGUGGAAGGACAGCACAAUUACCUAUGUGCUGGAAGGAAUGAUUGCAUCAUCGAUAAAAUUCGAAGAAAAAACUGCCCAGCAUGCCGCUAUCGAAAAUGUCUUCAGGCUGGAAUGAACCUGGAAGCUCGAAAAACAAAGAAAAAAAUAAAAGGAAUUCAGCAGGCCACUACAGGAGUCUCACAAGAAACCCCUGAAAAUCCUGCUAACAAAACAAUAGUUCCUGCAACGUUACCACAACUCACCCCUACCCUGGUGUCACUGUUGGAGGUUAUUGAACCUGAAGUGUUAUAUGCAGGAUAUGAUAGCUCUGUUCCAGACUCAACUUGG